GAUGAACGCUGGCGGCGUGCCUAAUACAUGCAAGUCGAGCGAACAGAUGAGGAGCUUGCUCCUCUGACGUUAGCGGCGGACGGGUGAGUAACACGUGGAUAACCUACCUAUAAGACUGGGAUAACUUCGGGAAACCGGAGCUAAUACCGGAUAAUAUAUUGAACCGCAUGGUUCAAUAGUGAAAGACGGUUUUGCUGUCACUUAUAGAUGGAUCCGCGCCGCAUUAGCUAGUUGGUAAGGUAACGGCUUACCAAGGCAACGAUGCGUAGCCGACCUGAGAGAGUGAUCGGCCACACGGGAACUGAGACACGGUCCAGACGCCUGCGGGAGGCAGCAGUAGGGAAUCUUCCGCAAUGGGCGAAAGCCUGACGGAGCAACGCCGCGUGAGUGAUGAAGGUCUUCGGAUCGUAAAACUCUGUUAUUAGGGAAGAACAAAUGUGUAAGUAACUAUGCACGUCUUGACGGUACCUAAUCAGAAAGCCACGGCUAACUACGUG
rnacentral:rRNA from 1 species